rnacentral:rRNA from 1 species
UACGUAGGGUGCAAGCGUUGUCCGGAAUUAUUGGGCGAAAGAGCUCGUAGGCGGUUUGUCGCGUCUGCUGUGAAAACUCGGGGCUUAACCCCGGGCCUGCAGUGGGUACGGGCAGACUAGAGUGCGGUAGGGGAGACUGGAAUUCCUGGUGUAGCGGUGAAAUGCGCAGAUAUCAGGAGGAACACCGGUGGCGAAGGCGGGUCUCUGGGCCGUAACUGACGCUGAGGAGCGAAAGCGUGGGGAGCGAACAGG